GUGUCAGCCGCCGCGGUAAUACGUAGGGGGCGAGCGUUGUCCGGAUUUAUUGGGCGUAAAGAGCGUGUAGGCGGCUUGAUAGGUCUGCUGUGAAAACUCGAGGCUUAACCUCGAGCUGUCGGUGGAAACCAUCUCGCUAGAGUCCGGAAGAGGAGAGUGGAAUUCCCGGUGUAGCGGUGAAAUGCGCAGAUAUCGGGAAGAACACCUAUGGCGAAGGCAGCUCUCUGGGACGGUACUGACGCUGAGACGCGAAAGCGUGGGGAGCGAACAGGAUUAGAUACCCUGGUAGUCCACGCCGUAAACGAUGGGUGCUAGGUGUGGGCAGUGUCGACUCUGUCUGUGCCGAAGCUAACGCAUUAAGCACCCCGCCUGGGGAGUACGGCCGCAAGGCUAAA
rnacentral:rRNA from 1 species